rnacentral:rRNA from 1 species
UACGUAGGGGGCUAGCGUUGUCCGGAAUCAUUGGGCGUAAAGAGCGUGUAGGCGGUCCGGCAAGUCCGCUGUGAAAGUCGGGGGCUCAACCCUCGAAUGCCGGUGGAUACUGUCGGGCUAGAGUGCGGAAGAGGCGAGUGGAAUUCCUGGUGUAGCGGUGAAAUGCGCAGAUAUCAGGAGGAACACCUAUGGCGAAGGCAGCUCGCUGGGACGUUACUGACGCUGAGACGCGAAAGCGUGGGGAGCAAACAGG